rnacentral:rRNA from 1 species
AACGAACGCUGGCGGCAGGCUUAACACAUGCAAGUCGAACGCGUGUAGCAAUACACGAGUGGCGCACGGGUGAGUAACGCGUGGGAAUCUACCUAGCUCUACGGAAUAACCCAGGGAAACUUGGACUACUACCGUAUACGUCCUUCGGGAUAAAGAUUUAUCGGAGUUAGAUGAGCCCGCGUUGGAUUAGCUAGUUGGUGGGGUAAUUGCCUAUCAAGGCGACGAUCCAUAGCGUGUAUGAGAGCAUGAGCAGCCGCACUGGGACUGAGACACGUCCUGGACUCCUACGUGGGGCAGCAGUGGGGGAUAUUGGACAAUGGGCGAAGGCCUGAUCCAGCCAGGCGGCGUUAGUUAUGAAGGCCCUAGGAUUGUAAAGCUCUUUCACCAGUGAAGAUAAUGACGAUAACCUGAGAAGCAGCCCCGUCUAACUUCGUGCCAGCAGCCGCAGUAA